rnacentral:lncRNA from 1 species
AUGGUAGUGAAUAAGUCUCAUGAGAUCUGAUGGUUUUAUCAGGGGGUUCUGCUUUUGCAUCUUCCUCAUUUUUCUCUUGCCACCACCAUGUUAAGAAGAGCCUUUUGCCUCCCACCAUGAUUCUGAGGCCUCCCCAGCCAUGCAGAACUGUAAGUCCAAUUAAACCUCUUUUUCUUCCCAGUCUCGGGUAUGUCUUUAUCAGCAGCAUGAAAAUGGACUAAUACAGUAACUUGGUACCAGCAGAAGGGGUGCCUCUGAAAAGAUACCCAAAAAUGUGGAAGCAACUUUGGAACUGGGUAACAGGCAGAGGUUGGAACAGUUUGGAGGGCUCAAAAAAAGACAAGAAAAUGUGGGAAAGUUUGGUACUUUCUAGAGACUUGUUGAAUGCCUUUGCCCAAAAUGCUGAUAGCAAUAUGGACAAUAAAGUCCAGGCUGAGGUAGUCUCAGAUGGAGAUGAGGAACUUGUUGGGAAGUGGAGCAAAGAUGACUCUUGUUAUGUUUUAGCAAAGUGACUGGUGGCAUUUUGCCCCUGCUGUAGAGAUUUGUGGAAUUUUGAACUUGAGAGAGGUGAUUUAGGGUAUCUGUGGAAGAAAUGUCUAAGCAGCAAAGCAUUCAAGAGGUGACUUGGGUGCUAUUUAAGGCAUUCAGUUUUAAUAAGGAAGCAGAACAUAAAAGUUUGGAAAGUUUGCAGCCUGAAAAUGCAGUAUAAAAGAAAAAUCUAUUUUCUGAGGAGAAAUUCAUGAAAGCUGCAGAAAUUUGCAUAAGUAAUGAGGAGCCGAAUGUUAAUCCCCAAGACAAUGGGGAAAUGUCUCCAGGGCAUAUCAAAGGUCUUCAUGGCAGCCCCUCCCAUCACAGGCCCAGAGGCCUAGGAGGAAAAAAAUGGUUUUGAGGGCCAGGCCCAGGGUACCUGUGCUGUGUGCAGUCUAGGGACUUGGUGCCCUGCAUCCCAGCCACUUCAGCUAUGGCUGAAAGGGGCCAAUGUAGAGCGUGGGCUGUGGCUUCAAAGGGUGCAAGUCCCAGGGCUUGGCAGCUUCCACAUGGUGUUGAGCCUGCAAGUGCACAGAAGUGAAGAACUGAGGUUUGGGAACCUCAGCCUAGAUUUCAGAGGAUGUAUGGAAACGCCUGGCUGUGCAGGCAGAAGUUUGCUGCAGGGGCGGGGCUCUCAUGGAGAACCUCUGCUAGAGCAGUGCAGAAGGGAAAUGUGGGGUUGGAGCCCCCACAGAGAGUCCCUACUGGGGCACUGCCUAGUGGAGCUGUGAGAAGAGGGCCACUGUCCUCCAGACCCCAAAAUGGUAGACCCACUGACAGCUUGCACUGUGCACCUGGAAAAGCCGCAGACCGCAGACUCAACGCUCGCCCAUGAAAGCAGCCAGGAGGGAGGCUGUAUCCUGCAAAGCCACAGGGGCAGAGCUGUCCAAGACCAUGGGAACCCGCCUCUUGUUUCAGCAUGACCUGGAUGUGAGACAUGGAGUCAAAGAAGAUCAUUUUGGAGCUUUAAGAUUUGACUGCCCCACUGGAUUUCAGGCUUGCAUGGGGCCUAUAAUCCCUUUGUUUUGACAAAUUUCUCCCAUUUGAAAUGGCUGUAUUUACUCAAUACCUGUACCCCCAUUGUGUCUAGGAAGUAACUAGCUUGCUUUUGAUUUUACAGGCUCAUAGGUGGAAGAGACUUGCCUUGUCUCAGAUGAGACUUUGGACUGUGGACUUUUGGGUUAAUGCUGAAAUGAGUUAAGACUUUGGGGGACUGUUGGGAAGGCAUGAUUGGUUUUGAAAUGUGAGGACAUGAGAUUUGGAGGGGCCAGGGGUGGGAUGAUAUGGUUUGGCUCUGUGUCCCCACCUAGAUCUCAUUUUGAAUUGUACUCCCAUAAUUCCCACAUGUUGUGGGAGGGACCUGGUGGGAGAUAAUUUGAAUCAUGGGGGCAGUUUUCCCUAUACUGUUCCCAUGGUAGUGAGUAAGUCUUACAAGACCUGAUGGUUUUGUCAGGGGUUUCUGCUUUUGCAUCUUCAUCAUUUUUCUGUUGCCACUGCCAUGUAAGAAGUGCCUUUAACCUUCCACCAUGAUUCUGAGGCCUCCCCAGCCAUGUGGAACUGCAAGUCCAACUAUACCUCUUUUUCUUCCCAGUCUCAGGUAUGUCUUUAUCAGCAGCAUGAAAACGGACUAAUACACCUACAUUAAAGGGCAGAGAAGAGGCCGUGCUGGUUCAUCCAUAUAACUCAUGGGAUCAUUAGGAGGUUCUUAAGGCUGGGUACAGGGGCUCAUGCCUGUAAUCCCAGCACUUUGCUGGGUGAAGGCAGGCAGACUCACCUGAGGUCAGGAGUUUGAGCCUGGCCAUGGUGAAGCCUGCCUCUACUAAAAAUACAAAAAUUAGCCAGGCGUGGUGGGGCACACCUGUAAUCCCAGCCAUUCAGGAGGCUGAGGCAUGAGAAUCGCUUGAACCUGGGAGGUGGAGGUUGCAGUGAGCCAAGAUCAUGCCACUGCACUUCAGCCUGGGCAAUAGAGCGAGACUCUGUCUCAAAAAAAAAAAAAAAUUGUUCUUAUGAAGCCUGAGGCUAGGAGAGAAUUGGCCAGCAGGAGGCUGAGUUCCACCUUUCUCAUUUCGUCAUAAGCACGUUUAAAGCCAAGAAACAGCCUUGUGAACCGCCCAAACAGAACAGUGAGCUGUGAGGUUGGGUGUCGUUUGCAGGCUCCCCAGGACUGGCUGAGGAUGCCUUGAUGUGGCACUGAUUAGAGAUGAUCCCAGAGACCACACAGAUGUGAACAGGACUCCCCUCUUCCGUGGGGAACAGAAGUCCAUGAGAGGCUGGGUCUGAAGGGCAGGGCGAGGGUAAAGGAGACAGGUUUGGCAGCAGCCUGGAGGGCUAUAGGUGCUUUGCCCUGUGGCUUUAACAUCAGAUCCCCAAGUAUCCCUGACCUGGGGGAGGAGCUGCCAACACAAAGUCCAGAAAGGGCAGGGCAUAUAGGUGGAAGCAGAAAUGCCAAUCAGGAUGAGUGACAGGGAUGAACCAAAGUUGGGUUCAAUAUUCUGGACCUGGGUGACUGGAGGAAUCAAAGCAUUCUAGAGUUAGAAGUGGCCUUAGAAUAUUUAAUCUUGUGCCUAGGACUAGAUAUUGUGCUUCAGUGUCCCUGAGACCUCCUCCACCUCAAACUUGUGGCCUCCUGAAGGAAAGAAAAAGAGACAAACACUAUCUAGGAAGCCCUGGGGUCCACCAGACUCCUCGGCAGCCACUCUCCCGACUGUGGCUCCCAGGAGAACCCAGUCUCAUGGCCUAGCUGAGUAGCAGAGCACUGUGGAAAGGCUGUAUGGUUGCUGCCCUGCCUCUUGCUGCUCUGUGACCCUGGGCUCGUGACUUCACCUUGCUGGGCCUUCUUUCACCAGUAAGCUGAAAAUAAGCUUUGCUGCUAGGAUAUUAAUUGGUGACAUGAGAUAAGGUUUGUAAAACACAGGGCACUUGCCUGACAUCUACUUCCUCCUUGCCAUCUGGAAGCCUCCAGUAUAACACCUGCCUGAAGUCAUAGCUGAAGUACAACAUGUUUCUGACAAUUAAAUGUAACAGACAUAAUUUCUAGGGCACCCACUGCAUUGGACAAUGUGAGACAGAUGGACUAAGUACAAGACAUGGACCUCUACCUCUGAAAAAAGUAGCAUCUUGGUUAAGCAAAAGACACACAAGCACAAGCUUUUUAAAUUAUGAAACUAAUACAGCUACAUGCAGAAGAAUUAUGAAUCAAAAGGACUAUUGGGAUUUAGAAGGAGAGCUUAGCAGAGUUGGAGGGCUUCCUGGAGAAAAUGGGCUCUGUGAUAGACUCUGAAGUGCUGGUAAGGCAUGGAAGGUGGGCAGCUUUUGCUGUGAGUUGUCCAGGAACAAUGGCAAGAGCAAGGUGUGGGCAAGAGCAAGGUGUGGGCAAGAGCAAGGUGUGGGCAGGAGUGGAUUCAGAGCCCCACUGGAAUAGAGUUUUGAAGUCAUGGAUGAAGUGGGCGGAGAGAGGUCUGAAGAGGUUAGGAGGGCCAGGCAGUGGACUGGAGGUGCCACACCACCAGCAAAAGACCAAGGAUUCUGUUCUAAGGGCCAACCAAGUCUGGAGGCACAGAUUUCAGAGUGAGGGAGUCACAUGAUGAAAAAGGAAUGGUGGAAUAGAGGGGGAUGUUGGAUGGGAGGAGAAUCUAGAACAAUCAGGGUGAGUGACAGGGAUGAAAUGAAGUUAGGUCCAAUAUUCUGGGCCUGGGUGACUGGAGGAAUCAAAGCAUUCUAGAGCGUGAAGUGACCUUAGAAGAUGUAAUCUUGUAUAGCCAUUCAGAAUAGGUUAAUGCCUUUCCUGGGUCCACGGCAAGUUCUUCCUCUCUUAGUUCUCUCAAGAGCUGGUUGUUGAAAACAGCCUAGCGCCACCCCUUCCCCUGCCAUUCUCUCCCUUCCUCUCUCACCAUGUGAUUUCUGCACAUGCAGGCUCCCCUUUGUCUUCUGCCAUGAGGGGAAGUAGCCUGAGGCCCUCAUCAGUUGCAGAUGCUGGGUUUCAUGCUUCCUGUACAGCCUGCAGAAUCAUGAGCCAAAUAAACCUCUUUUCUUCAUAAAUUACCCAGGCUUAUGUAUCCCUUUAUAGCAACACAAAUGGACUAAGACAGUACCCUCCCUAUGGGGCAGUGUCCAGAGAGAAAAGGCCAGAAGACCAAAGACUGAACCUUGAGUCCUGGGAACAGGAUCCAGGAGAAGGGGCAGUCAGAGGUGGGAUGCAGCCCAGAUGUGGUCAUGGUGAUCAAGGACGCAGUAGUGAAGGUGGUCAGUGCUGUCCACAGGCAUGGUACUUGGCUGUGAUCUCCCCAGCCCCACUGAAGCCUAUUACAGAUGGCUGCAAAUUCUUUGACACCUCUCCCACUGAGAUGGGGUGGGGGAAUCUUUGCUUCCUCCAUGUAAAUCGGAGUAGGUUCUGUGACUAAUGCCCCCCAUAGAAUAGAAUGGAAGUUUAGCUGGGCAUGGUAGUGCAUGGCUGUAGUCCCAGCUACUCGGGAGGCUGAAGUGGGAGGAUCGCUUUAAGCCCAGGAGUUCUCCAGCUGGGGCAAGAGAGUGAGAACCUGUCUCAAAAAAAAAAAAAAAAAAAAAAAAAGGAAUAGAAUGGAAGUAAUGUCAUGCCAGUGUCCAGUUCCAGCCUCUGAGAGACUGGCUGUUCUGACCUUUAGAAUCUGGGAGCACUCAGUUGUGGAACCCAGCCACCAUGUUGUGAAGAAGCCCUGUGCAGUGGUCCAAGUGACCAGGAGUCAAAGCUCCCAGCCAAUAGCCAGCACUAACUUGUCAGCAGUGUCAUGGAGCCCACUUGAAAGAGGAUUCUAAUUAUGCUGCCCAAGCUGUGGCCACAUGGAGGAGAGAUAUACAGUCCCUGCUGAACCCUGCUCUAAUUACAGGUUUGUGAGCAAAACUACUAAUUGUUAACUAAAUUUUGGGGUGGCUCAUUACACAGCAACAUCUGGUUUUCUCGGUGGAUUCAAUCCAAUGUGCUUGGGUCUCCCCUCCUAGUGCAUGGCAGAUGGUGGGGGCCAUGGGAACUUCCCUCUCUCACUGCUCUCCCUUAACUUUUGUUCUGGUGGCUGGUGACCUCCACGGGGCUUAGAGAUCAACUGUGGUCAGUGAUUAGGGUGGCCCUGGGCCUCUAUGGGGGUUAGGUAUUGGGAAAGGUCACAAAGGGUGGGGCCCAUGUAGCCCCCACAAGAACAGAACAGAACAGAACAAGCCCUGGCCUCUCAGCUACCCAUUGGCAUAGCUUCCAUUCCUUCCACUUGCAUACAGGGAGACUUGAAAACCAGUGGUGGCGAGACUCCAAGACUAUUAUUUUUAUUUCCGGACAAAAACAUCUGCUUCACACAGUGCACGGCAUCAAAUGAAGAGGAAAGAACUUGUAUCCCAAAGCCUGGCUUUCUGUAUCAUCCACAAAUUAAGACAGCAUCUGCUGAGCCCAUGCUGAGCCUGUCACAGUCAACAACUGGGAAACCGGGGCCUCUACUGAACCAGGGGACAAGUAGCCGAAGCACUUAAACAGCUUGAUACUUGUUUUUUGGUACAUUUGUUUAUUUAAAGCACAGGAAAUGAAUAAAAUGCCACCUAAAAAGUAUCUGCAAUGAAUAAAUUAUUUCCAGUGAAGCACUGCAGAUCCACACACACCAGUCUGCUAACCUUUACCAAGGCCAUGUCCGGUGGGCUUGUGCUUGUUCCAGUUGACUCUUCCUUGAGACCUUUCCCUUCUGUGCAAUGACCACAGCAUUAGAGACCAGUCCUGCAUGCGCUGGCCUUCCUCGUAGGCAUGGCAGACCACGUGGAUGAGCAGUGGGCUGGCAUGCAGUAGGCUUCAACAAAUGGCACUUCACUGUUUCCAGUGACCCUGAAAUGUUUUACGUAAGUGGGGCCUGGGCUUUAAAGAAAAGAGCCAGGGUUCCUCAGGCUGGGCCCCUUCACUGAGGCACAGCUCCAGGAAAUACUGGUCUCAGGAGCCAGCAACUUGUCCAGGAGUUUUGAGCCCUCAGUUGAAGGAAAAUGGCCACGUGGUGUCCUUGCAGGCAACAGUGAUGUCGGUGAUGGUGACAAGUAGCCAGCCUAAGGAAGGCCAAUCCCACCUUGGGUGGAAUGCAGGGCACCUAGUCCUGCUUGGAAGGGGCUGGGAGGUUGGGGAAUGUCGAGAAUGGAGGGCUAGGGCUCCACACAGUGAAUUCAAAUAAGGGCUCUUCAGUGAGGGAAGGAAGCCGCAGCCCUCCUUUGGCCCUUUAUGCAGGGUCAGCAUCUCGGCUCACAAGGCCAAGGGUCACUGGGCAGGAACCAGACUUUCAGAAGGGAAAGGUGCCAUAGGCAACGCCAAGGGCAUGACUUAAAUAUCCUAUCCUCUGGAAAGUGUUCAAGAGGUCUUGCAGUACACGCCAUUUAGGAGACUAUAAAAUUCCUUUCAUUUAUGCCAUGUGAACAAGUUGAGGCGGUGCAUUUCCAAGGUGAAUUCAUUGAAUACAAUGAAGUACAUUUAUUUUUUGAAGGAAGUUUUUGCCGCAGAAAUAUUGAACUUGGGACUGUGCUGACAAGCUAUAACAUAAUCCCUCUCCUUCCAGAUCAGAGCAGGGGUGAGGAAGCAAAAGUCCACAGUUACUGGGCAGGUAAUUGGUAUAAAUGAGGGUGUGGGGCUGGAUGCGGUGGCUCACAUCUGUAAUCCCAGCACUUUGGGAGGCCGAGGCAGGAGGAUUGCUUGAGCCCAGGAGGUUGAGACCAGCCUGGGCAACAUGGUGAAACCCUGUCUCUACAAAAAAUACAAAAUUAGCUGGGCAUGGUGGUUUGUGCCAGUGAUCCCAGCUAUUUGGGAGGCUGAGGUGGGAGAAUUGCUUGAGCCCAGGAGGCAGAGGUUGCAGUGAGCCGAGAUUGCGCCACUGCACUCCAGCCUAGGCAACAGAAUGAGAUCCUGUCUCACAUUAAAAAAAAAAAGAAAAAGAAAAAGAAAAAAAAGAAAAAGGGUAAUGUGAGCACACAUUGGUCUCAUGGUCUACUCACCUGAUUAGAGAUUAAUCCCAGUCUUUCUUUUUCAUUACAAUAAAUGCAACCUGCAGGGGCAUUGAUCAGUAGAAACAAACACUCAGCCUCAUUGUGGGAAGUGAUAGGGCGUAGUGUGGGCUGUGGUGACCUGGUGAAGUGGACACCCCUUCUAAAGGCAGAGCUGGUGCCCAGCUCCAGCCAGUUGUUGCUAGGUGAGAAUGUGAGCCCCAGCAUGGCCAGAUCUUCUGAUCUGGGUUUUUUUUUAAGUGUUAGAGUCCGCAAGCUAAACAAAACAUCCCUGUGCGCCAGAUCAUUUUGUAGCCUCUCCUGUGGGAGUCAGUGGCAGGAAGGUGUGGUAGGCAGAAUAACAGCACCCCAAAGAUGUUCUGGUCCUAAUCCCCACCUGUGGCUAUGUUGUCUUGCAUGGCAAAAGGCUCUUCCAGGAUGAUGAAGGAACUUUAGAUGGAGAGAUUAUCCUGGAUCUUCCUGGUGGGCUUUGUAAGUCAAAGAGGGAAGUGGGAGGGCCAGUGUCACAGUGAUGCCAUGUGAGAAAAGCUUGACCAGCCACUGGAGCCUGGGAAUGCAGCCAGCCUCUAGAAGCUUGAAAUGGCAAGGAACCGGCUUCUCCCUAGAGCCUUCAGAAGGAGCACAGCUCUGCUGACACCUUGAUUUUCAUUCAGGGACAUCCAUUUUGGAAUUCUGAUCCCCAGGACUAUAAGCUAAUGUGUUGUUUUUAAGCUACCAAGUAAUAGGUUGCAGUGGCAACAGAAAACUAAUGCAGGGGGCCACUGUUUGGUAUAUAUUUAAACAUUUUUAGAGGAUGAGAAUAUUCUCUAAAUUUCUCUUUAAAUGUCAAAGUAUUGCUGCAGCUAGGAGAACCGCACAUGGAAACUUGAGGAAAUUUCUCUUAUUGCUAGGACUAUAGGACAAUGGGAUUCAAGAUGAAUUUCCACAAUGGGAUAACCACGAACCGACCUAGAGAAUCAGGAAGUCUCUUAUCAAAGCAGAUAUGUGUCAAUGCUGCUCAAACACACACAUUCUUUUCUGGUUGGACAGAUUGUAAAUUAUUCCCACCACCUGGGGGACAGGCACACGUUUAUCUAGCGGUCAGUAGAAGUCACAACCCAGGCAUCCAAACCAGUUAGUAUGAGUUAUUACUAAGUCAGGUGAAAAGAGCUAGGUGGUUAUACAUUUGAUCUCUUAAAUAACACAGGACCACCAAAUAAAUAAUAAUAAAAAGGCACAUUGUCGUUUUCAUCCUGGGGACCCCAGUGAGAGUAGGGACCUCAGGUAGGCUCCUUGGAAUUGGAACUGUUGUCCUGAAGAGGGCAAGCCUCUGUUUAACACUCUGAAUCCAGGGCUUGCUGCAACCCUAUGCUAGGUGACUCAGGCCUCUCUCCUCUCAUUACAGGCUGGCUAACCGCACAGCCUAAGUUGAGGAGCACAUGAGCUGUCAUGACUGUAUCCAGAUUGGAAUUCAUCAUUUUCAAUGUCUUGCCCUUAGAAUGAGUCCACUGAGCAAUGUGAAGUUGGCGGUGUCCAGGAAAACCUCCUGCUGUUCCUUCUGUAUAAUUCCUCUUCUUUAGGAUUUCUGGUUAGGAACACGGACGGGUGUCUCAGUGCCCUGCUUUAUGAAACUCAGCAAAGCGUCUGGAAUGGAUCAAGUUAUUCUGCUGGCUCCAUGGGCUCCUGAGUGUUCAGUAAGGGAAUGUCUGUGUCCUUGCUGCUUACAUCCCCAUUGUUGGGAUGGGAGAAGGUGUACGGUUCACUCUCAGACUCAGGAGGGGAGCGAGGAGGUGGCUCCUCAGUGGCCAACUUUGCAGUUGGGGCCCUGGAGCAUAUGGUGGGUGGGGAGGGAGGACAGACCCCCAUGGUGCCCUGGAACGGCCGGUAGGUGUCCACCUCUGGCUGCAGGAAGGAGCCGCUGGAAUCCUGUAGCAGAUGCCCAUAUACCAUGGUGUCCUCGAUGACUGCAUACACAUGGGAGUCAUUGUCCUUUCGCCCUUUCUGAAACUUUUUUGGCUGCCUCGGCAUCUCAGUAUUGAUGUUGUCAUUGUAGAUACCCACAGCGGGGCCCUUGUUUGUCUUCUUUUUCCUAUUUGGAAAAAUGGAACAAGACAGAAGUCAGAAAGGCAAGAAUCUUCGAUGGGUACCAUUGCUAUGGCCCUGCUAGAGCUUGGAUUCUUUAGGGUUCUGACCAUGUCUCCCCCAAAUCCCUCAGAUUGCUCAGCAUUUGAAACUGAAACUACUGUCCUCAGUGAACAUUUAGAAGGGACCUGAUUUUGUCUCCAGUUUUCAAAGUGGAAACAGAGAUCACAGGUAGUAGAAGAGUGGUUUAGAGAGGGCACCUCUAUCACUAUCUGUGCUCAAUUCGUUUUUGAUAGAUAUGCGGUAUCCAAUGGUGGAGACAUCUGACAAUCUCUUUCCCCUCCAUUCUACCAGAAAUGGGCAGUGUCCCAGACCUUCUCAACCACAUCAGGCUCAGUCAUGCCUAGGUCAAUCCUCCCGCACUCUUAGUACUUUCCCGUAGCUCAUGCUUUAUCUCUCUUUUGCCUGGGAAAAGCUCUGACCAUCUAGAUUUUAAAUGGCGAUACAAGAGACUCAGGAGGCCAGGUUGUAUCUUAGUUUUCAGUAUGAGCUGGGGAGAGGAUAACUCAGCAUUAGCAGAGAGACCCAGUGCCUCAGUAGUCACCCCCAACAGAGGAAAGAGCUAAAAAGAAGACAAAAUUCAGGCUGCAGUGCCAGAGUUCUUCAAUAACACCAUUAGCAUUUGGUUUAUAAUGUUCUUUGGUACUUGGACCUGCAUGGGCAUUAGCGCUUGCUGCCACAGAAAACAAAGCUUUGCUCUCCAUCUUUGUGAACCAAACAGCAGGGAAUGCUGACUUUUUAGCUGACCAGUGAUGCAAAUGGAGGACAUUAGCUCAAUUAGCGUAAUGGGCCAUAUAAGGCACAGGCUGGCAGUUCAUAAUGGUGGACAGGCUGUCUGUACUUUGCUGAGAUAAAAAUAAACCUGGUACCUUCAGCUUGUAACGCUGAGCCCCUGGCCAGGAGGAUGGGUUCCUAAGGCUCCUGCCUGAAGCCCUGUAAUGUUUGUCCCCACUAAAGCUCUUCUCAUGCUAUCCUGAAACUGACUGUUUAUUUGCCUGUCUUUUCAGUCCCCCUGCCCCCAUAGAAGAGAUUGUCUCACUCAUCAUUGUCCCCAGUACCUCAAUGAAUCCUAGUGCCCAGGAGACACUCAGGAAGUACCCGCUUAGUGAACAUGUUAGAUGGCAUUGUCUCUCCUCAUUCUCACUGCACAACCUGUCCAUCCUCCUACAACAGCUUGGGCACGGACAGGCCUUAUGCAAACCUGCCAGCCAGCAGCCUCACACAAGCAAGGCCUGUAGCAAGGCUGGACUGACGAUUCUCAGGCUUAAACUGGCGCUGUUUCAAGAUGAGGCAAGUGCUGGAUCUCGUUCCUUGUCCAAUUCCCUCCUGAUAAGGAACCUGGGGCCCAGUGUUAAUGCCAUGCUUCCCCAACUGGGUGGGCUAUUCCGUGCACCGCAGAUGGGAAAAUUCCCUGAGAGAAACAGUAACAUGAUGUUUCCUUAAAAGCAGUCCUUUUUCCCCCAUGUGUUAUAGGUACAGCCACUUCUCAUGGGGAAAAGACCUCCUGCAAGCCAGUCCUUCCUCAUCAGCAGAGACAUUUGUAGACAGUCUUGUUGUAGACUAGGAAUUUCAGUUCUUUGCUCAGGUCCACAGUUAAUUUUUAAAAAAGAAUUUUUUGGCUGGGUGUGGUGGCUCACGCCUGUAAUCUCAGCACUUUGGGAGGCCGAGGCGGGUGGAUCACAAGGUCAAGAGAUCGAGACCAUCCUGGCCAACAUGGUGAAACCCUGUGUCUACUAAAAAUACAAAAAAAAAUUAGCUGGGCGUGGUGGCGGGUGCCUGUAGUCCCAGCUACUCGGGAGGCUGAGGCAGGGGAAUCGCUUGAACCCGGGAGGCGGAGGUUGCGGUGAGCCGAGAUCGCGCCACUGCACUCCAGCCUGGCAACAGAGUGAGACUCUGUCUUAAAAAAAAAAAGAAUUUUUUCAGAUUGGCUUUUUGGAAGGUCAAACCAUGUUAAGGAAAAUAGCUCUCUUCUCUCUCCCAUGACUUUAGUCAGAAAUAUGAGCAGAAUUUAUACAGUUUGGCGGCAGCACGGACUCUGUCUAAAAAGGUCAACAUUUUCCUUUUAUAAAAUAGAAGCUCAGCCAGGUACGGUGGCUCAUGCCUGUAAUCCCAACAUUUUGGGAAGCCAAGGUGGGUGGAUCACUUGAGGUCAGGCGUUUAAGACCAAUCUGGCCAAUAAGGUGAAAUCCCGUUUCUACAAAAAAAUACAAAAAAAAUUAGCUGGGCGUGGUGGUGUGUGCCUGUAGUCCCAGUUACUCGGGAGGCUGAGGAAGGAGAAUCACUUCAACCCAGGAGGCGGAGGCUGCAGUGAACCGAGAUUGCACCACUGGCAACAGAGCAAGACUCUGUCUCAAAAAUAAAUAAAUAAAUAAAUAAAACAGAAGUUGUCCUCCUGAGGGGAUGGAAAGAGAGACUGAGGCAGUUAACUGGGCCUUCCUUCCUCUGGGCCACAGGCCUGGCCUCUGUUACAUACCUGGAGCCCAACAGGCAAGGAUAAAGCAGUUUGCUUAAGAAACUGCAGGAGAACAAGCUGGGACAACACACAUUCGUUCUCCUUAGGGUGACGGAGGGAGUGGUUUCAGAGGCACAGUCUGGCAGAGCCUACGUGAGCAUUUUCUUGCCAAGAUCACUCCUGCUUGAUCAAUCUACUGAGCAAACAGCACUCUGCUUGCAGGGGACUUGUGCUGAGGCAGCUGCACCAUGAACUACAUACAGGUGAAAAUGUCACGUGUGUUUUAUCCCCCCCUCACCCCCAGGCAUGGGAUUUUUUUUCUCCUGAAAGCAUGACUCACACCUGGCAAUAUUGUUUAACAUUGAUCUUUGGGGGAAAAAAUGGGAAGCAAGAAAACAAAGUCAAUAAUGAACAAUCCACCCAGUCUGUGUGAUCUGAGGAGGCAUCAAAUCAGAUAAAGAGAGUAAGAGAUUCCACCUACUUCUUUUUCACACAGCAAAUGAUGAGCCCGAGGGCAGACAGCAGUAAGACUCCACCUCCCACCGCUGCGAUGAGGAUGACAGUCAAGUCUGUGAGCAGAGACAUAAAGAGACAGAUGAAGAGGCAGCUGGGGCUUGCUCUCUAUCCUCCAGCUGACAAUUUUUUGUUCAUCACUGUCCCCAAAGACCCUGAAGGCCCUUACCCACAGUCCUUGGGGUAAGUGUCACCGAGAAGAGCAGGUCUAGCUGCUUGCCGCUCGUGGGGCUGCAGUUAGAGAUGUUGACCCAGAAGCUGUGAUGGUGGAAGCUUGGCUUGGGGAGCACAUCCUCGUCCAGGCUGAAGAUCUCCUCAGCCCGGGUCCGCUGCUCCUGGAUGAUCAUGAAUGCGCGCCCUGUCUGGCAGACCACGCCGCUCCGCUCCUUAAAGAAAGUCAGGCAGGCCACCUGGUCUCUGGGCACGCUGAUGUUCCAGGACACAGAGGAAAGGGAGGGAGAUCCAGACAGAUGUUUCAUUCAGUCAACAUGGAGAGGAAAGGGAGUGGUGGAGGAGACGAAGUCCAACUGUCCAGACCAGCGCUGUCUAACCGAACUUUCUGCGAUGAUGGAAAUCUUCUAGAUCUGCACCAUCUGAUAGGGUAGCCACCAGCUAUAUGUCUGCUGAGCCUUGAAAUGUGCCCAGCAUGACCAAAGAACUGCAUUUUAAAUUUGUUUCAUGUUAAUUUAUUAUUAUUAGUUAUUUUUGAGAGGGAGUCUCACUCUGUUGCCCAGGCUAGAGUGCAGUGGCACGAUCUCGGCUCACUGCAAACUGCAACCUCCACCUCUCAGGUUCAAGCAAUUCUCCAGCCUCAGCCUCCCGAGUAGCUAGGACUACAGGCAUGAGCCACCAUGACCGGCUAAUUUUUUGUAUUUUUAGUAGAGAUGGGGUUUCACCGUGUUGGCCAGGCUGCUCUUGAACUCCUGAGCUCAAGUGAUCUGCCUGCCUUGGCCUCCCAAAGAGCCGGGAUUAUAGGCAUGAGCCACUGUGCCCAGCCUCAUAUUAAUUUAAAUUCAAAUCAUUGCUAUGUGGCUAGCACCACUGUAUUGGUCAGUGCUGGAUCAGUCUCAGUCAGAGUAGGUACUCAGGACUUUUGAAAAAAAACAAAACAAACAGGCAAAUAAAAACCAGGCAAGUUUCCCAAACUGGUGGUUAUCUCAGCUUCCCUUCAGAAAUGCUCUCAACGUAGCUACUAUAUUCAUCUAUUGCCCUCUCCGGGGUGGGGCUGGUAUAGCCUGAUUUCUGUUUCAGAGAUUAAAAUAUCUUCAGGUUCUGGGAAGAGUUCCGGAACUGCAAAGCUGAAAGAGCUCCUGACACGUCAACUAAUCCCUUCCUUACCUUCAGGAGAGAUAAAACCCACACAUUCCACACUGAUGAGAAUGUGUCUUAUUUGCAAAGACUCCUCAGAAGGAGUUUCUCUGGUAACCUUGGAGAUAUCAGGCAGCCUGGACCCACCUUAAUCUUAUGACCAAAGAUUCUUCUCCCUCCCACUCACACCUCAGAGAAUAAGAGUAGGAAAUAAACAUCAAAGGUCUUGGUCAAUUUUAAAAUGGCCUCUAACUUAAUGUUCUUGGAGCAACUUGUAAUGGUGACUGUGACUUUUAAAGUCAACCAUGUAGAAGUCACGUUGUGAGCCAUUUAGACCUCAUUUACUGCCUCAGAACAUGGAGACCACAUGCCAGCCUCCCAGGAGGGUCGGGUCUGCCCAGCCGUGCUGCUGGACUCUGGCUCCAGAGACUCGUCUCCCUCCCAACGCUCCUCCCUCUGUGCUCUCGGCACUGCAUUCUGAAUUGUAAAAGCAGAGUCAUAAAAAUGUCUGCCUAAGGAUUUUUAUGUCACUACCUUAAAAAUCCGGGACUGGGGAAUAUCUGGCUAUUUCUCAUUUACGUCCUGCCUGCUUCCAAAAAAGACUCAAACCUGAUAAUGUUUUUGCUGCCUACCAACCAUCGCCUCUCACUGUCAGAAACAUUUUUUAUUUCUAAUCUCAGGAAUUUUCCAUGCUAGGUUAAUGGUAAAGUCAGGAUUAGGACUCACUAUCUUUCAAAUUUCUUGUGCAAGGACCAGCAUAUUGAGCUAUCCCUUCUUUCCAAACUGGCAACUUAAUUAAGGUGAUCACAAAACUAAAAUCAAAUAAACGCUUAAACUAAAGGGGCAUGGAGAUAGGGGAGACCCCCCUUACCUUUGAAAUAAGGUAUAAAGGACACCGUCAGACCCUGCCUGGAGGCCUCUUGUUGGAAGCUGGGGGCAAAGGUGCGAAGGGUCACCGAGAUGUUCUGCUUCACCUGGAUCUGCUUGAUAGAGCCUCCCGGGCAGAAGGAGCCGAAGUACAGGUCCUGGCUGGGUAUGGCACUGGCCACGAGGUAGCUGAAGCUGGUGUUGCAGGGCUUCUCGUGUGUAUGCUGCUGCAGCUUCUGGGCUGGCACCAGCACCAGGCUGAGCCUGUCCUUGGGCACCAGCAGCUUCCAGGAGAAGUCAUGCAGCUCCACAGGCAGGUGGAGGAUGUCACUGGGCACCUGGAGUGAGUAGGAUUUCCUUUGGCAGUACCGGUGGUCUGUGCAGCCUGGAAGAAGUGGGGCAUGCUAGCCAUGCACAAAGGAGACCAGAAGUGCACCCUCCCCAGCUCUCCCGUCAGCCUGAGGUUGGGUGUCUGCAUGCUGCCCUGUGUUUCCCUUCGGUCUCUCUUCUCCCACCCUGCCCUCUGCUUCUGGCUCCUCUGUGUUCCUUUUCUAGCGGUCCCUCUGCUCUCUUAGUAAACAUUCUUACUGUUUACUAAGCUGGCAAACAAACUUCUGGGUAGUACUCAGGGUUGAAAUUUCCUCUCCUUUUUUGCUUAAGUUUUUCUUCUGUGUAUCUGUGUCUUAGAUGCUAAGUGUCAUGGGGCAGGGCACAGGUUUCACUCCACCCAGACGUGUUGCUCAGGAGGCAGUUCUGGGCAGUGGUUGGAGCUGUGAGUGGCGUUGGGGAGAUGUUAGUUCGUCUUCUGGCUCUGCCACUUCCUAAUAGGGUGUUCUUGGGCAGGCUACUUUGCCUCUUGUGGCCUUAGUUCCUGCAUUUGAACUAAGAGCACACAUCAGAAGUCAUGGUAGCCCAGCAAGGAGGUGGCUGUUGGUUUACUGGCCUUCAGUCAUCAAACAUUUUUUUUUUUUGAGACCGAGUCUCACUCUAUUGCCCAGGCUGGAGUGAAGUGGUGCGAUCUCGGCUCACUGCAACCUCCACCUCCCGGGUUCAGGCGACUCUCCUGCCUCAGCCUCCCGAGUAGCUAGGAUUACAGGCACCCAACACCAUGCCCGGCUAAUUUUUUGUAUUUUUAGUAGAGAUGGGGUUUCGCCAUGUUGGGCAGACAUGUUGGCAGACCAGCCUGCCCAACCUCAAGUUAUCUGCCUGAUAACCUGACCUCAAGUUAUCUGCCUGCCUCGGCCUCCCAAAGUGCUGGGAUUACAGGCAUGAGCCACUGUGCCUGGCCAAUCAAACAUUUUUCAAGUGACUAGUGCAUGUCCAGCACCGGUAGGGGCUAACUGGAUGAAAAAUAGAACGAGUCAAAGUUCUUGACCUCAGGAAUCACAGUCUUGUGUGAGAGAAGACAAGAGGGCAGUGAGUGUGGAAGUGGGGGUGUGGGGUGUGGGGGGAUGGGGAUGGGAGAGGCUGGGGAAGUCUGAGCAAGAGAGGAGAGGAUCUCACAAGAGGAAGAUUGGAAGGCUGGGCAGAGAGACAUAAGCCUGAACAUGGGGCAGUAUGACACAGUUCUGAGGGCUGCAGGCUCUACCUGAGGCUGGUCCAAAGGGACGUGUUGACACCCACUCUGCUUGCCUCCUGGUCACCCUUGCUCACCUGCACUGUGGGUGGGGUUUUUUUUUUUUUUUUGAGUCUUACUCUGUUGCCCAGGCUAGAGUGCGUGGUGCAAUCUCGGCUCACUGCAACCUCCGCCUCCCAGGUUCAGGCCAUUCUCCUGCUUCAGCCUUCUGAGCAGCUGAGAUUAUAGGCGCCUGCCACCAUGCCCAGCUAAUUUUUGUAUUUUUAGUAAAGAUGGGGUUUUACCACGUUGGCCAGGCUGGUCUUGAACUCCUGACCUCAAGUGAUCCACCAGCCUUGGCCUCCCAAAGUGCUGGGAUUACAGGCGUGAGCCAUCGUGCCCGGCCAGAUGGGCCUUUUUGAUAUGAUUUACAACCUACCCAGGGAACCCCACUAAGGCAAGGCGGGGAGAGAAGAGCUAUCCAUGGCCAGGGACAAAUGCACUGAUUCAGGGGCGUACUUAUGGUUUUUUCCACAUUCAUCCACAGACGUGUCAGAUCAUCACAAAGGAAGGAGAUUUUGUGUUUGGAGCCAGAUGUCAGGGUGAGGUUGCUACUGCAGGUCCGAGAUUCUAGACACACGAAACAGCCAGGGACAAACUUGCGGCUCUGUUUGACGGGCCGUGGCUCGAUGGUGAGUGACAUGGCUCGCUCAUUACUCAAGUCAACCACGUAGAUUUUAUCUGAAACCACAAACAGAAAACAGGCAUGAAGCAUGGAUCAGCAGCAACACGGGAAAUGGCAAAAAUUGGUAGAAAACCUCUCCUGAGGAAGAAAAUGGCAUAUCAGACCAUGGAUGGAUAAUGUUGGGAAAACGUAUUAUUAAGGCAACAUUACAAUAACUAUAAAAGACAGUUAAAAAGAAAAAUAAUGGACUUCACUACAAUAAAAACAAAGAGAAAAUCAUUAAAAAUGUGGCAUAAACACAAAUUAUAAAAGUGAAAAAAAGAUUAAAAUAUCUGUCUGAUGAUAGGUGCUACAAAUAAGGUUAAAGGACAAGGGACACGUCGGGAGAAAGUGUUUGCAAUAUAGAAUGAUUGAGCAGCUCACAGGAAAGGAGAUAUAAAUGACUAAAUAUUUAAAAUAUAGAAAGUUCUUAAUGUCACUUGUAAUCAGAAAAUGCAAGUUAAAACAAAGUGUUACUGUAUCCCACUCCUCAGAUGGGGGGAAAUGUAGAUGUCUGGCAAUACUGAAAGCUGGAGAGGCUACAGGAAACAGGCCCUUUGGCACACGGCCAGUGGGAGCCUGGAACACCCUGUUACAGAAACAUGGGAAUUAGUAAAAGAAUGAACUCUUGUCUCUUCUGGGAACCAAACAGUGUGACAUGGCCAUGAGUGCCCACGUUUAACUGCAGCACUGUGAUUGUGGGAAACUAGAGACCACCUUAUACUGGAAUAGAUAAACUAUGGGGACAUUCACCAAUGGAAUAUUACGGAGCUGUUAAAAAGAAUGAGGGAGGCUGGGCACAGUGGCUCACGCUUGUAAUCCUAGCACUUUGGGAGGCCGAGGCGGGCAGAUCACCUGAGGUCAGGAGUUCAAGACCAGCCUGGGUAACAUGUUGAAACCCCGUGUCUACUAAAAAUACAAAAAUUAGCUGGGUGUGGUGGUACAUGCCUGUAAUCCCAGCUACUUGGGAGGCUGAGACAGGAGAAUCGCUUGAACCCGGGAGGCGGAGGUUGUUGAGAGCUGGGAUUGUACCACUGCACCCUAGCCUAGUGACAGAGCAAGACUCCGUCUCAAAAAAAAAAAAAAAAAAAAAAAAGAGGGAGAUUUGAAAACCUAAAUAUAAAUAUUGAGCAGAACAGCAAGUUGUAGAUAAUAUGUAGAGUAUGAUACAAUGCAGAUGGUAAAAUCUCUCCGUGAAACAAAAUAGCUAUUUAUAUAUACAGACUUAUGUAUGCAGAUGAAGAGAAAAAAGAUCUGGAGAGAAAUAUGACAAAUCCGUGACUGUGGUUACCCCAGAGGAGGGGCCUGGGAGUAAAGACAGACUGAGUGGUCAAGGAGGAUUUUAGCUUUGCCUAUAAUAUUUAAAUUUCUAACAAGAACAUAGUUACCUAUUUCUUGCAUCAUUUGGAAAACUGCUGGAUUAUUGGUCAUUUAGGUGAUUUCUAUAAUUUUGCCAUUAGAAAUAAAUGAACAGUGCCAGGCAUGGUGGCUCACACCUGUAAUCCCAGCACUUUCAGAGGCUGAGGCGGGUGGAUCACUUGAGGUCAGGAGUUGCAGACCAGUCUGGCCAACAUGGUGAAACCUCAUCAAUACUAAAAUACAAAAAUUAGCUGGGCAUGGUGGUGGGCGCCUGUAAUCCCAGCUACUCGGGAAGCUGAGGCACGAGAAUCGGUUGAACCCAGGAGGUGGAGGUUGCAGUGAGCCGAGAUCCCGCUAUUUCACUCCAGCCUAGGCAAUAGAGCAAGACUCUGUCUCCAAAAAAAAAAGAAAGAAAGAAAGAAAAGAAAAGAAAAAAAGAAUAGGGAUACCUUUUCAACUCUUUAGAAUAGAUUACCAGAUUGGUUUAUAAAAGACUCAUUUCACUUUUUAAUGUUAUCCCUAGAAAGCUCUACACCACAGAUGCCUGGGGAUCAACUUGUACUGAGUUGCUUUUGAAUUUCAUUCAUUCUUUUGUUUAAAAAAAAAAAAAAAAAAGCCCAUCAGAUUAGGAAGGCGCCUGUGCAAAGUGGUGCUAACUUUGCAAUUCAAGGGUGUUGACAAUAUCACCCAUCAGCGCCGGCGAAUGAGUUCAAUUCUAACUGGGAAAGCUCUAUUUCCAAAAAGGCCUGCUAAACUUCCUUCUUCCUCAUAACAGGAACCAUAUAAUUGAUGGACUCUCUCCUCUUGAACUGGCUGCAGGGAAGCUCGGUGUCAAAUUAGUAGCACAAUUAGGAAAAUGUUUUAUGGCUGUCAUAUCUGUUAAUUGCCUGCUGUAGUUCUUGCUGUCUAUUUUCCACGUAAAUUUUGACAUCACAUCCAAUAGUGCUUUAAUUAGAGAGAUGCCAUGUCUAGAGCUGAAGUAUAUAUUCUAAUGCUGCUAACUUAAAUAUAAUUUGAUUUGGAAAAUAGUCAGCUUUUCAAUCACCUGGCCCCACAUCCAGCUCAUUUCUUACUGUCUUUCAAAACUCACCUUCAUUGUUACCUGCAGGACACCUCCCCACCCCAAAGCCGUGUUAGAAGCCCCUCUGCUUCUGCAGUCCCUGCUUACCUUUACCAAGGCCCCGCCACACACUGCAGUGGUCUCCCCACCCGCUCUUCCCUCAUUUCCAUCUUACCAAAGCCAUGCAUGCACAUACUUUAAAGCAGAGAUUCUCAGCCUUUAUUAUUAUUAUUAUUAUUAUUUUGGGGGACAAAGUCCCACCCUGUCACCCAGGCUGGACUGCGGUGGCGUGAUCAUAGCUCACUGCAGCCUCAACCUCCCAGGUUCAAGCGAUUCUCCUGCUUUAGCCUCCUGAGUAUCUGUGAAACAAAACAGCUAUUUAUAUGUACAGAUUUAUGUAUGCAGAUGAAGAGAAAAAAGAUAUGGAGAGAAAUAUAACAAAUCCGUGACUGUGGUUACCCCAGGGGAGGAGCCUGGGAUAACCGCAGUAAAACAUGCUCUGUUCCAUUGCUCAAUAACACACUCCGUUCCAUUGCUGCCUAUGGAUCUUUCAGUUUCAGGCACUGUCUAUUGGCUUCCCACUCAGGAAGAUGUGGAUUUCUCCUCCUUCACCCCACACCCCCUCCACACCCCACACCCCCACAACACAGCACAGACUAGCGAACACUCACACCACACACACUUCCCAUUCCCAUUCUCCCAUCUUCCUGAUAGUUAGCGUCAUAUUUUCAGCUAGAUCUUCAUUCUAUGUUUGUGUAAUCGUGACUAUGUAAUAAUAUUAACAGUGUUUAGGUAGCUACACUAUAUUGCAUGCUAUAAUGAUUUUUCCUUUCUGCAUAAAAUUUUGUGUUCCCUGUAGUGAAUUAUUAUCAUUUUAAUCAUUUCCUUAGUUUCUAUGUACUUAUCAAUAAUUUGAUACCCAAACUCUCUUCCACUUGUAUAAAUCUCCUUUCAAUAAAUUUGAAAACAUUAGGUACUUCCUCAACUUCUUAAGAAAUCUCUCCAGAGCCUUUUCAAUGCUCUAAUCUAAAGGGGCUGCUCUUGAUGCCUGGUGCUCAGGUGUGAUCCUGGAUCUCCUUCACUGUUAUCAUGGGAUUCCCUUUGCUUCUCUCUUGGACUAGAUCCUGGGCUUCCUGGAUCCAUCUUUUCUUUUCUUUUUUUUUUUUUUAAUUUUUACUUUCUUUUUAGGUGGAUUACAGCCUUCAGGUGCUUCUUGAGAAAGUAUAUAUGGGGGUAAAUUUUUUUAGAUCUUGUAGGUCUAAAAAUGUCUUUAUUCCACCUUCACACUUAAUUGUUUGGCUUGGUAUAAAAUUCUAGGUUGGAAAUAAUAUUCCUUCAGAACUUUGAAGAUCUUACUCCAUUGUUUUAUAAUACCCAGUGUUGCUGAUAAAGUUUGUUGCCAUUUGGUUUCUUCUUCCUCCGUAUAAAACUUUUUUACCUCUUCUCUAGAAGCUUGUAGGGUCUCUGUGUCCCUGAUAUUCUGAAAUGUUACAAUACUGUGCCUUGGUGUGGGUCUAUUUAUAUCCAUUGUGUGUGGUGGCCCCUUCCAGUUGGCAACUCAUAUCCAUCAGUCCUGGCAAAUGUUCCUGAAAUAUUUUGUGAUGAUUCCCUUCCCUCUAUUUUUUCUCUGUAAAACUCCAUCUAUCCGGAUAUUGGGCCUCCUUGACUGGUCCUUGAGUUUUAUAUUUUCUCUUUCUUUCUAUCGCGCUGGCUUUUUCUUCACUCCACUUUCUGGGAGAUAUCCUCAACUUUAUCUUUCAGCCCUUUUGACUCUUUCAUUUCUGCUAACAUAUUUUUAAUCUCCAAGAGUUCCUUUGAACUCUUGGAGAUUAAAAACGAGCUUUCUCCUGAAAGCCCUUUUUAAAAAUUACAACCGGUUCCUUUUACAUAAACGCAGCAUCUCUUCUUAUUAACUUGAGAGUCUUGAUAGCUGAUUUUUAGUUUUUUCUCCCUCUAUAGUCUCUGUUUCCUGCAAGUGGCUUUUCUUCUAUUCAUUUGUUUUAGUCUUUGUAUUUUUCAUUAGGCUUCACCAGAUGUCUGGGGAUCUAUAUACUGCUCUUAUUUAAAGUGAGGCACUAAUGCUAUUUGGAAUAGCUCUGCUUGUUGACUGGGCUUCUCAGUAGGGUGAUAUGGCCAGAUUGCUUCCUGGGGAGCCCAUAACAUCAAUAUCUUUGGGUCUUUUCUCUUAGAUUGGUCAGAUGCCCCCAGAGAAGAAGUCAUUCUCUACCGAAGGGAAGAAACAUACCCAUGGGCACCAGGGAAGGAAGGAUGGAGCCUCAUGCUCAGUACUUCAGUUUUACUCAAUCCCCCGUGUUCAGCUUAGUACCUCCACCUUCAGUGUGACUGGGAUCUUUGGUUCAGGGACUCUCAUCUCAGGAAAAGAAACUUCUCUCUUCUGUCAGCUCAGGGAAGAACAGUUGUUUGGCUGCUUGUUGGCAAGGAGACCAUCUGGGGCUCUAGUGGCUCUUCCCACCUUAGCCCCACAUUUGCCCCCAGUUCUGGAGGAGACUUGCUGCCAAUUCUUGAGGCUUUGCAGGAUAAAGCAGAUUUCUUCUUGGUUUUUCCCACUGUUGGCUUAGGAUUCUGCCCUUUCACAUCUGCUGGAUCAGUUACCACCUUUCUACUCUAUGAAAUGUUAUACGAUAUUUUUUCCUUUCUAUUUCUCUUUCUUCCUUGAAUUUUAUGUCUUUAAAAAUACAAAAAAAUUGUACCUUAAAAAUGUUUUAAAAUGCUUUAAAAAUGUUCUAAGAAAACCCAUUAUAGUAGGGUGUAUGAAGGGAGUAAAGCCAUCUUUAACAGGAAGUCAUGAUUUUCCUUUUACUUGUUCAUCUUUCCCACCAGAAUGUGAACUUCAUGGCUCCACAUAACUGGUAUAUGGUAGAGGAUCAAUUACAAUGUUAGGCUGUUCAUCCUCAUGAUAUCCUUGAGGGAGUGUGUAAAUCAGCUGAGGCUAAAUUAUGCUGCAGCAACAAAUGAUCCCCAAAUCUGAAUGGUUAGUAUAACAAGGGUUUAUUUCUUGUUCACUUUACAUAUUCAUUGUGAGUUGGCUGCAGCUCUGGCUUAUGUCUUCUGAAUUCCAGAUCCAAGUUGAAGAAGCCUCUAUUUGUGACACAGCAGUCUUGCGACAGAGUUUGAAAAUGUGAACCACAUGAUGAGUGCUGAGGCUUCUCUCAGAAGUGGCAGGCUCACUUCUGUUCACAUCUCAUUGGCCAAAGCAAACCCACAUGGCCAAGGCUGUGGUCAAUGCAGUACCAAGUCUAAUCCUCCCUCAGCAGGGGUGGUGAAUAUUUUAGAACAAAAAUGCAAUCUAGCAUAGGAGGCAUUAUCACUACCAUUUCGCAGACAAACUAAGGCUAGGAAGUGGUAAGACUGGCAAUGAAGUCGACAUCUUCCUGAUUACAAAGCCUGUGCUAUUUCUAUGAUGUUCACUGCUUCCCUGGACCCAACUGCCUCUCCUCUAGCCUGGUGGUUGCACUGAGGAGACAAGAAAUUGUGUGGGCCCUGGGACUGGCUUCAUGCAGCUCACUUAUAGAUGGCACACUCAUGGAAAAACUCUGCCAACUGCCAUCCAGUUUCAAGAUGAUAGUGAAGCUGUUCCUUAAUGUGCUGUAGAAGUGUAUUAAAUGUGGUCAUGUGCUGGGUGCAGUGGUUCAUGUCUGUAAUCCCAGCACUUUGGGAGGCCGAGGUGGGCAGAUCACCUGUGGUGAGGAGUUCGAGACCAGCCUGGCCAACAUGGUGAAACCCCAUCUCUACUAAAAAUACAAAAUUAGCUUGGCAUGGUGGCGCAUGCCUGUAAUCCUAGCUACUCGGGAGGCUGAGGCAGGAGAAUCACUUGAAUCUGGAAGGCAGAGGUUGCAGUGAGCCGAGAUCGCACCAUUGCACUCCAGCCUGGGCAACAAGAGUGAAACUCCAGCUCAAAAAAAAAAAAAAAAAAUGUGGUGAUGCUUGGUUUAGUUCAACAGCCGUUCACCGUUCAUCAAAUAUGUACAGAGGGCCUGUUUCUACUUUCAACACUAUGCUCCAGUGUUGGUACACACAAUAAAUAGGCUUUUCCUUACAGAAGGUUGC